rnacentral:rRNA from 1 species
CCUACGGGAGGCAGCAGUGGGGAAUAUUGCACAAUGGGGGAAACCCUGAUGCAGCGACGCCGCGUGAGUGAAGAAGGAUUUCGGUAUGUAAAGCUCUAUCAGCAGGGAAGAACAUGACGGUACCUGACUAAGAAGCCCCGGCUAACUACGUGCCAGCAGCCGCGGUAAUACGUAGGGGGCAAGCGUUAUCCGGAUUUACUGGGUGUAAAGGGAGCGGAGACGGGAGCACAAGUCUGGAGUGAAAUGCCGGGGCUUAACCCCGGAAGUGCUUUGGAAACUGGGCGGCAAGAGUGCAGGAGAGGUAAGUGGAAUUCCAAGUGUAGCGGUGAAAUGCGUAGAUAUUAGGAGGAACACCAGUGGCGAAGGCGGCUUACUGGACUGUAACUGACGUUGAGGCUCGAAAGCGUGGGGAGCAAACAGGAUUAGAUACCCUUGUAGUC